rnacentral:rRNA from 1 species
UGGGGAAUUUUGGACAAUGGGCGCAAGCCUGAUCCAGCCAUGCCGCGUGCGGGAAGAAGGCCUUCGGGUUGUAAACCGCUUUUGUCAGGGAAGAAAUCUUCUGAGUUAAUACCUCGGGAGGAUGACGGUACCUGAAGAAUAAGCACCGGCUAACUACGUGCCAGCAGCCGCGGUAAUACGUAGGGUGCAAGCGUUAAUCGGAAUUACUGGGCGUAAAGCGUGCGCAGGCGGUUUUGUAAGACAGAGGUGAAAUCCCCGGGCUCAACCUGGGAACUGCCUUUGUGACUGCAAGGCUUGAGUGCGGCAGAGGGGGAUGGAAUUCCGCGUGUAGCAGUGAAAUGCGUAGAUAUGUGGAGGAAUACCGAUGGCGAAGGCAGCCCCCUGGGCCAAUA